UGCCAUGAAAUGUUUUAUCCAUGGCUAAGUACAGAGAGGAAUAUAGAAGGGCUGUUGACAGAUCUUGUGUAGUGCCCCCAUGGUUCAACAGACUGAUUGAUAGAAAAUAAUACCAGGGUUAUGGUCCUUUCACUGUUGAGUUCCAGGAUGAAGAAUGAAAGACAGAGAGCAAUGUGAAGACAUCAAAGAAUGUGCAGGUCUGCCAUGAAAUUGUUUAUCUAGGACUAAGUACAGAGAGGAAUAUAGAAGGGCUGUCGACAGAUCUUGUGUGGUGCCCCCAUGGUUCAACAGACUGAUUGAUAGGUAAUGGUAAGAAUUUAAUGUAUUUUGAUUCUUACUUGUCAUUUUUGUGAUUAAUGCUCAGAAUAGAAUUUGUACAUUUUAAUUUUUUUUUUAUGUGGUUAUUUAGAAUUUGCAUUCAAGUUUUUCGUAGUGGCUGUUUGAAUCGACAUAUGCUUUUUGUGAUUUCUGUUUGGAAUCAAACUUGUGCAUUCAUUUUAUAAUUAUUUAGAAUGGACAUUUUUUAAUUUUUUUUUUGUAACUGAUGUUUGACAUCGGACUUGUGUUGUUUUUUGUUUUUUUUUAGAAUCAACGUGUUUUGUAUAGUGGCUGUUUGAAUAGAAAUUUGCUUUUUUCGGGAUGUCUGUUUGGAAUGAAAUUGUGCUUUUUUGUAAUAGCUGACUGGAAUCGGACUUGUGUGAUUAUGUUAUCGAUUUUCAGAAUUGGACUUGUGCCUUUUUAUGAUCAGUAAUAGAAAUCCGACUUGCGCAUUUUUUUUUGGUGGUUAUUAAAAUUUUUGUGAUGGGUGUUUUUAAUCAUACUUCUGCUUUUUUGUGUGGGCUGUUUGAAAAAGACUUGUGUUUUUCUGUGAUGGAUAUUCACAUUCCGAGUUGUGCAUUUACUUUGUGUUUUUUUAGAAUGGCAUUUUUAUUUGUUUAUUUUAUGUGAUGGCUGUUAGAAGUCUGACUUGUGCCUCCUUUUUAUGAUCGGUGUGGAGUUCGAAACUGGACUUGGUGGGGUUUUUUUGUGAUCAAUGUUCGGCAUAAGACUUAUUUUGUUUUUUUUAAUCAACUGAUUUUUUUUAGUAGUGGCUGAUUGAAUUGACAUUUGGGUCUUUAUUGAUGGCAGUUCGGACAUGUGUUUUUUUAAUUGAUGUUCUUUAUCAGAUUUGUUUGUUUUUCUUUUAUCAAUGUUUUAAAUUGGACUUGUGCAUUUUUGUGAUCAAUGUUCUGCAUUAGACUUGUGGGCUUUUUUUUUGUGAUGGCUUUUUAUGAGCUCUGUUUGAAAUUAGACUUGUGUGUUUUUUGCGAUCAUUGUUUAGUAUCGAAUUUUUUUUAAUUUUUUUUUAAAGAAUCAUGUGCUUUUUUUUAGUAGCUGAAUGAAUUGACAUUUUCUUCUUUGGAGAUGGCUGUUUGGAAUCAGACAUGUGUAUAUUACUUAAGCUCUUCAUCGGAUUUGUGUGUUUUUAUGAUCAAUAUUGUGUUUUUCGUAGUGGUUGUUUAAAUUAAUUGGUUUUUUUUU